ACUAUUUUGAGUUUUUUUUUUCAUUCUGGGUCGGAAGUCACCGCUCUUUGUGCUCGGCAGAGGAGGGGGAAGACCGGAGCCAACUCGUCCGGUGUCGGCUGGGGCGGUGGUUCGCGAGCUGGGAGACCGCCGACGGACAGAGCGGUGACCCCCCUGCAGGCGCUAGAGAGAGCCGCGGCUCGCGUCCAUCCUUGCCCUAGGGGAAGAGAUCGUCGAUUCACCCACCCCGCGGGCAAUGGCGUCAACGAGCUUCUUCGCUCGCGUCACCCUCCCCGCGCCCAGCCACAACACCUCGCCAUCGUGGGUGCGGUACGGCGUGGCGAGAGGUUCUUAUCGCCGGGUUCUGGCAGCGGCGAUGCCGCCCAGGAGGACGCUCGGCUCAGCGUUGCGUGAGGAAGAGGCGCAGAUUGCGGUGCUACCAUCUGUGCACGUGCCCGUCGGCUGCGAGCUGCAGCUAGCCGGCCCGUGCGCGUGGCCAUCCUAUACUUUGCACUUUGUGCUGUAAGUGUCGGCUGGUCGAAAAAUUCAGUUGAUAGUAAACUAAACUGCAUCAAAAAGAUGGGCAAGAACCGAGGGCGAGUUUGGUGGUGCCGGCCAUCCGGCAUGAGCCUCGGGAAAGGGUUUGGAUUAUGGUUGACAUUCAGACUGUCAAGGUAGUUCCCGAAGAAGAUAACUGGACCUUGAUGGUGAUGUCUCCCUCUCAUGAACACAAUCAUUUAUCAAAUGCAAAGCCAGCCAAAGGAAGAGGAGGAUAAGCCUCUGCUUUGUUUUCUUUGUGUUUGCUAGCAUCAGAGGCUGCUAGUCUGUACCUGUAUAUUUGAAGGUUCUUCCUUCAGUAAAUCCCAUACUUUGCGCAUUUCUGCCGUCAAGGCUCUUGCGUUAGCACAUGAGACUAACAUGGAAGCUGGAUUUCUCUUCUCUUCCGCAGAUGUUGCAGGCACUGUCUACCUCUAUUGUUGAGCUUAUGAUAUUAUUCAAGAUAGUGAUAUAUACUGUAACUUCAGUUUUUUAGUUUA